rnacentral:sRNA from 1 species
CAGUUCACAGUACCCAGUAACUCUACGGAUUGUAGAGAGCAGGCUGGAGGU